rnacentral:tRNA from 1 species
UGCCUACAAAUGCUCAGUUGGUUAGAGCAUGGCGCUGACAAUGCCAAGGUUGUAGGUUCGAUCCCCAUAUCGGCAA